rnacentral:tRNA from 1 species
GUGGUAAUAGCUCAGUGAUAGAGCACAUGCUUAGCAUGCAUGAGGUCCUGGUUUCAACCUCCAGUACCUCU